rnacentral:lncRNA from 1 species
AUAGCAUAAUAAAAAUCUAAUUUUUCUAGACAAAGUAUCCUUAGUAAAAUUACAAACUGGUAAUUUUUUAUGUUUAUUUAUUUAUUUUGAGAGAGAGAGAGAGAGAGAGAGAGAGAGAAUGUGAGCAUGAGUGAGGGAGGGGCAGAGAGAGAGAAGGAGAGAGAGAAUUCCAAGCAUGUUCUGUGCUGUCAGUGCAGGGACUAUGAGAUCAUGACCUGAGCUGAGAUCAAGAGCGGGACACAACCAACUGAGCCAUUCAAGUGCCCCUACAAAUGCUAAUUUUUAUAAUUAUCAUUACUGAAUUUAUGCUGAAAAAUAUUCAGGUUGGAAAUGUUUGAGAGCUGAAGGAAACCUGUAGCUCUGAUUAGAAUGAACUUAGAUUAUACAGAAGGCCUGCCCUACAAUUAUACAUGUGCCGACAUUAAAACUCAGAGAAGCAGCAGCCCAUGGUACAAGGACUAAGUGGAAGCUUAAUAUAAUAUAAUAUAAUGGAAACCAUAUGGUGCAUGGGCAGGCAGCCCCUUGCCGUGGAUACUACGUUGUUCUCACCACAUUAAUGUACACACUGAAGACCAACCAAGGGAGGUCCGUAUCAAAAAAACAGGAGGAGGAGGAGGAAGAGGAAGAGGGAGAGGAGGAGGAAGAGAAGCAGAAGGAGAAGGAGAAAGAGAAGGAGAAGGAGAAGAAGGAAGGAGAAGAAUGAGGAGGAAGAGAAGGAGAAGAAGCGGAAAAGGAAGGAGAAGAAGAAUGAGGAAGAGUAGAAGACAAGGAAGAAGAGGAAGAGGAAGAGGGAAAAGCUUUCAAUAUGUCACCAUCAAAUAUGAUGUUAUUAUUUUUUUU